UACGUAGGUGGCGAGCGUUGUCCGGAUUUACUGGGCGUAGAAGGAGCGUAGGCGGACUUUUAAGUGAGAUGUGAAAUACUCGGGCUCAACUUGAGUGCUGCAUUUCAAACUGGAAGUCUAGAGUGCAGGAGAGGAGAAUGGAAUUCCUAGUGUAGCGGUGAAAUGCGUAGAGAUUAGGAAGAACACCAGUGGCGAAGGCGAUUCUCUGGACUGUAACUGACGCUGAGGCUCGAAAGCGUGGGGAGCAAACAGG
rnacentral:rRNA from 1 species